rnacentral:lncRNA from 1 species
UGAUGAGCGGGGAAAAUAUUGAAAUAUAUCUAUAGGUCUGUUUUUUUGUUAAUAAAUAUAUGACAAGGUAUAUAUUUUUGAUUAACAAAAUAUAUGAAAAGGGUGGGGUACUUGAUGUCUCAGCUGCUCACCCCUACCAAAAAAAGUUUGAAGUGGCCCCCCCGAGGAAGCCGUACCCUUAUAACGAGUAAGAAUAAAAGGAAAAGUAAAGUUAUUUACGUUUUUAUAGUGACACAGAAUUUUAAAAACGACAUAAAUAUAAAUAUAGAUCCUACCAGGAAGUACAGGGUUAGCAGC